ensembl:lncRNA
UUCCUAUCUCAAAAAAUUAGCAUAUUUCAUCCGACCAAUAAAAGAAAAGUGUUUUUAAUACAAAAAAAGUCAACCUUCAAAUAAUUAUGUUCAGUUAUGCACUCAAUACUUGGUCGGGAAUCCUUUUGCAGGAAUGACUGCUUCAAUGCGGCGUGGCAUGGAGGCAAUCAGCCUGUGGCACUGCUGAGGUGUUAUGGAGGCCCAGGAUGCUUCGAUAGCGGCCUUAAGCUCAUCCAGAGUGUUGGGUCUUGCGUCUCUCAACUUUCUCUUCACAAUAUCCCACAGAUUCUCUAUGGGGUUCAGGUCAGGAGAGUUGGCAGGCCAAUUGAGCACAGUAAUACCAUGGUCAGUAAACCAUUUACCAGUGGUUUUGGCACUGUGAGCAGGUUGCAGGUCGUGCUGAAAAACGAAAUCUUCAUCUCCAUAAAGCUUUUCAGCAGAUGGAAGCAUGAAAGACGCAAGACCCAACACUCUGGAUGAGCUUAAGGCCGCUAUCGAAGCAUCCUGGGCCUCCAUAACACCUCAGCAGUGCCACAGGCUGAUUGCCUCCAUGCCACGCCGCAUUGAAGCAGUCAUUUCUGCAAAAGGAUUCCCGACCAAGUAUUGAGUGCAUAACUGAACAUAAUUAUUUGAAGGUUGACUUUUUUUGUAUUAAAAACACUUUUCUUUUAUUGGUCGGAUGAAAUAUGCAAAUUUUUUGAGAUCUUCAGGAAUCUUUUGCAGGUGUUUAGAGUUAAUUAGUUGAUUCAGAUGAUUAGGUUAAUAGCUCGUUUAGAGAACCUUUUCAUGAUAUGCUAAUUUUUUGAGAUAGGAAUUUUGGGUUUUCAUGAGCUGUAUGCCAAAAUCAUCAGUAUUAAAACAAUAAAAGACCUGAAAUAUUUCAGUUGGUGUGCAAUGAAUCUAAAAUAUAUGAAAGUUUAAUUUUUAUCAUUACAUUAUGGAAAAUAAUGAACUUUUUCACAAUAUGCUAAUUUUUUGAGAAGGACCUGUAUAUAUAUACAGUAUGUGUGUGUGUGUGUGUAUAUAUAUAUAUAUAUAUAUAUUUUUUUUUUUUUUUUUUAAUGCAGUAAUUUAGUGAAUAACCAUGAUAACAUUGUAAAAUAAAAACACAAUUUAACAAGCUUCCUGACCAGUAUGUAAAUUACAUAAUAAGGAGUUUCCUAUCAUCCUAGCAAUCCAAGCUUUAAAUGCCAUUUCCAUAUUUUGAGGUGACGUGCCUGGCAACAGAGUGGAACAGAAUGCAGGGGUUUCAAAAUGUGUUUUUAAUAACUGAACUACUUUUAACUUGGCAUGGCAACUGAAAAAAAUGCCAGGAAACGGGAGGCAACAGUAGAAGAUGUUAGGUAGCACAUGUUUGCAGAAAAACGUUAAAAAAUAGGAUGCAAGAAUGUCUACCUUGAAUGCAAAAUGGAAUGCUUAUGAUUUUUGAAUAGGUGUUUUAUUAAAUUCUAUUUUGGAAACUUGUUUUAUGAUGUUUCAUGGUUUAACAUUGUUAACCUUUUCUGUGUAAAGUUAUAUACAAUUUUAUAUUUCAUCAAACCACUAAACCAACUGGCAAAAGAUUUUCUGUUUUUCUUAAUUGUCCAAUUUUUUUUUAAUUUGUACAAAUUGUAAUUGUAUUUAUAAUUUCUUAGAUCUCUCUUUAUUUCCUUCCCAUGAACACUUAUCUGCACACACAUAUCCAUAAAUACAUGAAUGAGUAGUUUCAGUAGUUUCCAUUGCUUUGUGCGGAGCUGAAGAUAAUUAAAGAUAUUUCU